rnacentral:rRNA from 1 species
AAACUUUCAACAAUGGAUAUACCGGUUCCGGCAUCGAUGAAGAACGCACCGAAAUGCGAUAACAAAUGUGAAUUGCACAAUUCAGUGAAUCAUCGAGUCUUUGAACGCACAAUGCGCCCCCCGGUAUUCCGGGGGGCAUGCCUGUCCAAGCGUCAUA